UACGAGAGGCCCAAACGUUAUUCGGAUUUACUGGGCUUAAAGAGUCCGUAGGCGGCGCAGAAAGUGGGGUGUGAAAUCCCUCGGCUUAACCGAGGAAUUGCGCUCCAAACUCCUGUGCUUGAGGAAUCUAGAGGUGAGCGGAACUGAUGGUGGAGCGGUGAAAUGCGUUGAUAUCAUCAGGAACACCGGAGGCGAAGGCGGCUCACUGGGGGAUUUUCUGACGCUGAGGGACGAAAGCCAGGGGAGCGAACGGG
rnacentral:rRNA from 1 species